AUACGGAGGAUGCGAGCGUUAUCCGGAUUUAUUGGGUUUAAAGGGAGCGUAGGUGGGAUAUUAAGUCAGCUGUGAAAGUUUGGGGCUCAACCUUAAAAUUGCAGUUGAUACUGGUUUCCUUGAGUACGGUAUAGGUGGGCGGAAUUCGUGGUGUAGCGGUGAAAUGCUUAGAUAUCACGAAGAACACCGAUUGCGUAGGCAGCUGACCAGACCGCAAAUGACGCUCAUGCACGAAAGUGCGGGGAUCGAACAGGAUUAGAUACCCUGGUAGUCCGCACAGUAAACGAUGAAUACUUGUUUUCGGCGAUAUAAUGUCGGAGGCAAAGCGAAAGCGAUAAGUAUUCCACCUGGGGAGUACGCCGGCAACGGUGAAACUCAAAGGAAUUGACGGGG
rnacentral:rRNA from 1 species